UACGGAGGGUGCAAGCGUUAUCCGGAUUCACUGGGUUUAAAGGGUGCGUAGGCGGGCAGGCAAGUCCGUGGUGAAAUCUCUGAGCUUAACUCAGAAACUGCCAUGGAUACUAUUUGUCUUGAAUGUUGUGGAGGUAAGCGGAAUAUGUCAUGUAGCGGUGAAAUGCUUAGAUAUGACAUAGAACACCAAUUGCGAAGGCAGCUGGCUACACAAAUAUUGACACUGAGGCACGAAAGCGUGGGGAUCAAACAGG
rnacentral:rRNA from 1 species